rnacentral:rRNA from 1 species
UGCAAGCCACAUUAAGGUGAAACCGCGAAUGGCUCAUUAAAUCAGUUAUGGUUCCUUAGAUCGUACCACAUUACUUGGAUAACUGUGGUAAUUCUAGAGCUAAUACAUGCAAACAGAGUCCCGACCAGAAAUGGAAGGGACGCUUUUAUUAGAUCAAAACCAAUCGGUCGGCUUGUCCGGUCCGUUUGCCUUGGUGACUCUGAAUAACUUUGGGCUGAUCGCACGGUCCUGGAACCGGCGACGCAUCUUUCAAAUGUCUGCCUUAUCAACUGUCGAUGGUAGGUUCUGCGCCUACCAUGGUUGUAACGGGUAACGGGGAAUCAGGGUUCGAUUCCGGAGAGGGAGCCUGAGAAACGGCUACCACAUCCAAGGAAGGCAGCAGGCGCGCAAAUUACCCACUCCCGGCACGGGGAGGUAGUGACGAAAAAUAACGAUACGGGACUCAUCCGAGGCCCCGUAAUCGGAAUGAGUACACUUUAAAUCCUUUAACGAGUAUCCAUUGGAGGGCAAGUCUGGUGCCAGCAGCCGCGGUAAUUCCAGCUCCAAUAGCGUAUAUUAAAGUUGUUGCGGUUAAAAAGCUCGUAGUUGGACUUGUGUCCCACGCUGUCGGUUCAUCGCUCGUCGGUGUCUAACUGGCAUGGUUCGUGGGACGUCCUGCCGGUGGUGRCGAGUMAAAAGCGCGCUCCCGUCGCGGUUMCCGUGUUCGGUUCUUGUGCGCCUAGACGGACCCCGAUCAAAUCCUACCGCGGUGCUCUUCGCCGAGUGUCGAGGUGGGCCGGCACGUUUACUUUGAACAAAUUAGAGUGCUUAAAGCAGGCCUUUUGCGCCUGAAUACUGUGUGCAUGGAAUAAUGGAAUAGGACCUCGGUUCUAUUUUGUUGGUUUUCGGAACCCGAGGUAAUGAUUNAUAGGGACAGGCGGGGGCAUUCGUAUUGCG